rnacentral:rRNA from 1 species
UACGGGGGGAGCAAGCGUUGUUCGGAAUCACUGGGCGUAAAGGGAGUCUAGGCGGUUUGGUAAGUGGGAUGUGAAAUCCCCGGGCUCACCCCGGGACCUGCAUCCCAAACUGCUGAGCUUGAGUACAGGAGAGGGUGGGGAAUUCCAGGUGUAGCGGUGAAAUGCGUAGAUAUCUGGAGGAACACCGGUGGCGAAGGCGCCCACCUGGCCUGCUACUGACGCUGAGGUGCGAAAGCGUGGGGAGCAAACAGG